GUUGGAAUUUCAGGCCUGGCUCUUCACCUCUCUGAGGCUCAGUUUUCCCUCCAGUAAAAUGGCACCAGCCAACAGCUGAUCCUCUGGGAGGCGUGAAGACCGAGUUGGCAGCCGAGGAGCUGUGAGGGUGCCUAGCCAGGCACCGAGUGGAGCUGUUCCGCAUUCAGGAUGGGCGAUGGCGGCUUCUGGGAAGGCAGAGGAGCCCCUCGGGGGGCAGGAAGAGGAAGAGCUGCCGGGAAGAGCUGUGGAGUCAGGAAACCAAGUCGCCUAGAAAGAACACACAAAGUGACAAACUCCUAUUCAUCCUUCAAAGCCCAGCUCAGAUGUUACCUUGUCACAGGAAACCCUGCAUGACUCUCCACCUACAGGGACUCUCUUCUGCAGCACAUCUCUACCUUGCACCUGUUU